UACGGGGGGGGCAAGCGUUGUUCGGAAUUACUGGGCGUAAAGGGCCCGUAGGCGGCCAACUAAGUCCGACGUGAAAUCCCAAGGCUUAACCUUGGAACUGCGUCGGAUACUGGAUGGCUUGAAUUCGGGAGAGGGAUGCAGAAUUCCAGGUGUAGCGGUGAAAUGCGUAGAUAUCUGGGGGAAUACCGGUGGCGAAGGCGGCAUCCUGGACCGACAUUGACGCUGAACGGCGAAAGCUAGGGGAGCAAACGGG
rnacentral:rRNA from 1 species